rnacentral:rRNA from 1 species
UAAUACGGAGGGUGCAAGCGUUACUCGGAAUCACUGGGCGUAAAGGACGCGUAGGCUGGCUGACAAGUCAGAUGUGAAAUCCUAUGGCUUAACCAUAGAACUGCAUUUGAAACUGUUAGUCUAGAGUAUGGGAGGGGGAGAUGGAAUUAGUGGUGUAGGGGUAAAAUCCGUAGAUAUCACUAGGAAUACCUAAAGCGAAGGCGAUCUCCUGGAACAUUACUGGACCUAAGGCGUGAAAGCGUGGGGAGCAAACAGGAUUAGAUACCCUCGUAGUCCACGCCCUAAACGAUGAACACGUAGUCGUCUCAAUGCUUGUCAUUUCGGUGAUGCACUUA